GAUCAAGUGUCUUAAGGGCAUUCGGUGGAUGCCUUGGCGACAAGAGGCGAUGAAGGACGUGAUACGCUGCGAUAAGUCAUGGGGAGCUGCGAAUAAGCUUUGAUCCGUGAAUUUCCGAAUGGGGGAACCCACUCCGUAUGGAGUACCCGCAAGGGAGCAAACCCGGGGAACUGAAACAUCUAAGUACCCGGAGGAAAGGACAUCAACCGAGACUCCGCUAGUAGUGGCGAGCGAACGCGGACCAGGCCAGUGGCUAAGAUUUAAGAACCGGAACCGUCUGGAAAGUCGGGCCUUAGUGGGUGAUAGCCCCGUACGGGUAGAAAUUAUCUUAGUCCUCGAGUAGGGCGGGACACGUGAAAUCCUGUCUGAACGUGGGGGGACCACCCUCCAAGCCUAAGUACUCCUUGUCGACCGAUAGCGAACAAGUACCGUGAGGGAAAGGUGAAAAGUACCCCGACGAGGGGAGUGAAACAGUUCCUGAAACCGGAUGCCUACAAACAGUUGGAGGGCGCAAGCCUGACAGCGUACCUUUUGUAUAAUGGGUCAGCGACUUAAUUUAACGAGCAAGCUUAAGCCGAUAGGUGUAGGCGCAGCGAAAGCGAGUCUGAAUAGGGCGUCAAGUUCGUUGGAUUAGACCCGAAACCGAGUGAUCUAGCCAUGGCCAGGUUGAAGGUGCGGUAACACGCACUGGAGGACCGAACCCACGCCUGUUGAAAAAGUCGGGGAUGAGCUGUGGCUAGGGGUGAAAGGCCAAUCAAACUCGGAAAUAGCUGGUUCUCCGCGAAAUCUAUUUAGGUAGAGCGUCGGAUGAAUACUCUCGGGGGUAGAGCACUGGAUGGGCUAUGGGGGCUUACCGCCUUACUGAUCCUAACCAAACUCCGAAUACCGAGAAGUACUAUCCGGCAGACACACAGUGGGUGCUAACGUCCAUUGUGGAGAGGGAAACAACCCUGACCGCCAGUUAAGGUCCCUAAGUUAUGGCUAAGUGGGAAAGGAUGUAGAACUCCCAAAACAACCAGGAUGUUGGCUUAGAAGCAGCCAUCAUUUAAAGAAAGCGUAACAGCUCACUGGUCUAAAUAAGGGGUUCCGCGCCGAAAAUGUACCGGGGCUCAAGCCAUACACCGAAACUGCGGGUGCACGUAAGUGCGCGGUAGCGGAGCGUUCUGUAAGUCUGCGAAGGGAGACCCGCGAGGGCUCCUGGAGAUAUCAGAAGUGCGAAUGCUGACAUGAGUAACGAUAAAGCGGGUGAGAGACCCGCUCGCCGAAAGUCCAAGGGUUCCUGCGCAACGCUAAUCGGCGCAGGGUUAGCCGGCCCCUAAGGCGAGGCCGAAAGGCGUAGUCGAUGGGAAUGCAGUUAAUAUUCUGCAGCUUGGUGGUAGUGACGGAUGCCGUGUGUUGUCUUCCCUUAUUGGAUUGGGAAGGCUUCGAAGGUGUUCCAGGAAAUAGCUCCACCGUAUAAACCGUACCCGAAACCGACACAGGUGGACUGGUAGAGCAUACCAAGGCGCUUGAGAGAACUAUGCUGAAGGAACUCGGCAAAAUGCUCCCGUAAGUUCGCGAGAAGGGAGACCUCUUUCUGGGCAACCGGAAAGGGGUGGCACAGACCAGGGGGUGGCGACUGUUUAUCAAAAACACAGGGCUCUGCGAAGCCGCAAGGCGACGUAUAGGGUCUGACGCCUGCCCGGUGCUGGAAGGUUAAGAGGAGGUGUGCAAGCACCGAAUUGAAGCCCCAGUAAACGGCGGCCGUAACUAUAACGGUCCUAAGGUAGCGAAAUUCCUUGUCGGGUAAGUUCCGACCUGCACGAAUGGCGUAACGACUUCCCCGCUGUCUCCAGCAUAGGCUCAGUGAAAUUGAAUUCCCCGUGAAGAUGCGGGGUUCCUGCGGUCAGACGGAAAGACCCCGUGCACCUUUACUACAGCUUCACACUGGUAUUCGUCACGACAUGUGUAGGAUAGGUGGUAGACGUUGAAGCAGGAGCGCCAGCUCUUGUGGAGUCACCCUUGAAAUACCACCCUUGUCGUCAUGGAUAUCUAACCGCGGUACAACAAUAUCCGGGACCGUGUGUGGCGGGUAGUUUGACUGGGGCGGUCGCCUCCCAAAUGGUAACGGAGGCGCGCGAAGGUGGGCUCAGAGCGGUCGGAAAUCGCUCGUUGAGUGCAAUGGCAUAAGCCUGCCUGACUGCGAGACUGACAAGUCGAGCAGAGUCGAAAGACGGCCAUAGUGAUCCGGUGGUCCCUCGUGGAAGGGCCAUCGCUCAACGGAUAAAAGGUACGCCGGGGAUAACAGGCUGAUGAUGCCCAAGAGUCCAUAUCGACGGCAUUGUUUGGCACCUCGAUGUCGACUCAUCACAUCCUGGGGCUGGAGCAGGUCCCAAGGGUUUGGCUGUUCGCCAAUUAAAGUGGUACGUGAGUUGGGUUCAGAACGUCGCGAGACAGUUCGGUCCCUAUCUGCCGUGGGUGUAGGAGAAUUGAGAGGAUCUGUCCCUAGUACGAGAGGACCGGGAUGGACGUACCUCUGGUGGACCUGUUGUGGCGCCAGCCGCAUUGCAGGGUAGCUAUGUACGGAAGGGAUAACCGCUGAAAGCAUCUAAGCGGGAAACCCACCUCAAAACCAGCUCUCCCUGAAGAGCCGUGGUAGACCACCACGUCGAUAGGAAGCGUGUGGAAGUGUGGCAACACAUGAAGCUUAGCUUUACUAAUAGCUCGUUCGGCUUGAUCCU
rnacentral:rRNA from 1 species